rnacentral:rRNA from 1 species
GCCUACGGGAGGCAGCAGUGGGGGAUAUUGCACAAUGGGGGGAACCCUGAUGCAGCGACGCCGCGUGGGUGAAGGAGCGUUUCGGCGCGUAAAGCCCUAGCGGCAGGGAAGAAGAUGACGGUACCUGACCAAGAAGCCCCGGCUAGCUACGUGCCAGCAGCCGCGGUAAUACGUAUGGUGCAAGCGUUAUCCGGAUUUACUGGGUGUAAAGGGAGCGCAGGCGGCACGGCAAGCCUGAUGUGAAAGCCC